AUGAUCUAUGGACCACAGAUAUAGUUCUCAAUCCAAGGAGAGUCCGAAAACUAAUAAUUUGUGCCUUGAAUAACGAAUGUAAUUUUUUUGUUCUAAUCUUGAAACUUUGGCUAAUGUGAUAAUAUUGGUGUCACGGUGGUCUUCAUAGUUGUAGUGAGUACAAUCUAACAGAAGCAAAAGUCUCUAUUGAUUGUUGUAGGAGAUCCAGAAAGCGGAGCAUUGGGGCACUCUGAUUUUUAAGAAGCUCCAUGCACGUAUUAAGGCCAGUAAAUUCAAUUUGUUUCUCAUCUGCUUCUCUAUGGUCUGUUGUCCUUAUUCGAUCUGUUAUUCAGGUAUGUGUUGUUAACGCUCCUAAUUUUGGGAGAAUCAGAAAAAAAAUAAGUUUUGCAAGUUACGUCAUAUUUCCAUGUUUUAGUAUGAGAUUUAGAUAUAUUGUUUCUCCGGUUCCAUAUUCAUUAUAUGUUUUUCUCCUAUAAUUGGCCUGCUUAUUUACACAAGUCUGAAUUCCUAAAGGUUCAAGAGUAUUUCAAUGUUGCUAAAGAAAGAUACAAGGAUCAGUGCCGUAACAUUGUUGAAAGACAAUCAGACACAGACACCAUGCAGCAGCACUGCACCCUGCAGUUCAUGCUCUGCUCACCAUGACCUGCCUCCUCAUCAUCAGACAUACUCAUGUGUACUAGGAUCUCCUCACCAUCAAAGUUCAUGUGUCCUCUAGAUCAAGCCUAUGCAUGUGAGCUGAAGAAUUGUUUGCCUGUUCACAAUUGGUGAUUGAAGGGUGGCCGGUGACUUCCAUAAUUUUCUUGUAGUUGUUUGUUGGAUAAUCUUUAAAAUUAGGAUUGUAGAGAACUUUACAUUACUGUAAAACUUCGUCUUCUUGGUGUUGAUGCUUACAUAUUCCAUUAUGCUAACUCAGCAACACUUUUAGCAGAAAUUGGUUGUUUAUGCAGACACGCGGUGUAGUAAAAUUGAAGAUUUAGCUCCCGCAUUGCAUACUUAUGCUAUGUUGUAGUAAUGUUCUAUCCAUGAAUUAUAUAUAGCAGACUGUAUGUUCAGCCUCCACGUUCAUUUC